CACGUAGGGGGCAAGCGUUGGUCCGGAUUUAUUGGGCGUAAAGAGCGUGUAGGCGGCCAGGUAGGUCCGUUGUGAAAACUCGAGGCUCAACCUCGAGACGUCGAUGGAACCAUCGUGGCUAGAGUCCGGAAGAGGAGAGUGGAAUUCCUGGUGUGCGGUGAAAUGCGCAGAUAUCAGGAAGAACACCCGUGGCGGAAGGCGGCUCUCUGGGACGGUACUGACGCUGAGACGCGAAAGCGUGGGGAGCGAACAGG
rnacentral:rRNA from 1 species